UACAGAGGGGGCAAGCGUUGUCCGGAUUUAUUGGGCGUAAAGAGCGUGUAGGCGGCUAGAUAGGUCCGUUGUGAAAACUCGAGGCUCAACCUCGAGACGCCGGUGGAAACCAUCUAGCUAGAGUCCGGAAGAGGUGAGUGGAAUUCCUAGUGUAGAGGUGAAAUUCGUAGAUAUUAGGAAGAACACCAGUGGCGAAGGCGGCUCACUGGUCCGGUACUGACGCUGAGGUGCGAAAGCGUGGGGAGCAAACAGG
rnacentral:rRNA from 1 species